CCAUUACUCUUAAAAACAGAGAGAAAAGAAAACCAAAAACCAUUUCUUGGCUGGUUUGAAGAAAUUCUAAGGAGAUCCAAGUGAAAUCAAAGCCAAAGAAGUGGAUUAAGCUUAGUUCUAGCCUUUUUAUGAUAUUUCUUGGUGGUUUCCAAGUGGUUUGAGGUUUAGAAAAGCUAGAAGAGAUUGUUUUCGCCGAAAAGUUGCUCGGAUAAGCACAUCAACACCUAAGACACCACUUGUUACACGGUGAAUUAUAUUUUGGACAGAAGGUAGAGAAAGAAAUGUGUGAAUGACAUGAGGAGAAUUGAAGCAUGGUCCUGACCCUGAUUUGUACAUAUGAACAUAUCGACCUUUUGUGGGUUAUUUCAGUUAUCAGUGAGAUGUUUGUAAUAAAGGGUGAAGUUAUGUUUUGAAAAUAAAUUGGGUUAUUUAAUACUUAUGUAUAAUAUGUUUGAGACACACUUUAUGUUUAAUGUAAAUAAUGUGAAAUAAGUUUUCAAGUUAAAAAAAAAAAAAAAUGUCCAGACUUCCGCAGUAAUAAAUGAUGAUAUAGUUUUAAAACGUAACACCUCAAAUAUGGUUUUAACUAAAAUAAGUAAGGGUGUUACAAAUCCAAUAGAGAAUGAUGGUACCCUAACUCCUUAAAGUGGUCCACAACUUGACUUGCCACCUCAUCCAGACAUAACAUUUUAUCUAAUUCCAACUCAAGAAGUCAACAAUUCAA